AGUUAUAGAACACUAGAAGCAUUUUCAAACUUCAUCUCACUCAUUUCAAAAGAAAAAUCUUUCCUCUCUCCAUCGAUAUAGAUUAAUUAUCGUUAGUUCCAGAUGAGACCACAAGUCUUGAUGUUGUUGUGUUUCUUUCUUAAUCUGUGAGCUUGGCCUUUAUACUUAUUGGAUUUUACACAAAGCUAAUUCAACUUUUCUUAAUCUGUGUUUCUUACUUUUUUCAUGAUAUUCUUUUGAUUUGGAUGACUGAUUUGUUAAGUUUCAGCUCUUAUUAUGCACGUUAGAUAUUCGAUGAAAUUCUGACUCUAUGGAUUCGGCUCUUCUAUGAAAAUAGAUAAUUAAUUUCAGUUUUCAACGAUAAAUUCUAAAUAUUCAUCAAAGUAUAGUUUAUUGUAGAUUUUAUUGUGAGUAGAACGUGUGAUAAUUUAGUAGACUUAUGUUUUGUCUUAUUUUUAUCUUAUUUUAAUGGAAACAUUUUUCUAGAAAUAACAACUGCUCUUUUCAAAUUCAUGGGAACAAAUAUGGUGUUAUCGAAGAAACAAUGGGGUUCAGCAAUCCAUUCGUCAUGCCUGCCGUCAUCACACCAGGGGCAUAUUGGAUCUUUCUACUGUGUUGUUCAAUAAUCGAAUUAUCUUCAUUGGAACACAAAUCAACUCCGCAGUUGUUCAGAAAGUAAUAUUACAACUUGUGACCCUUACAAUUAUAGAUGAAAACAAAGACUUUUGGAUCUAGCUUAACUGUCCCGGUGGAAGCACAUACGCUAUCUUGGCAAUACAUAACUGCAUGUCAUGGAUAAAUAUAGCAUAAGGUUGGUAUAGUAUGUUUUGGAGCUGUUGUGAGCCAAAGAGCAAUUCUUCUUGCCGAUAAAAGGGCAUGCGAUAUGCAAUGCCUUACCGCAUGCCAAAUGCACGUAUAAUCGUUCAUCAACAUCAAAGUAGUGGUAGAUUGUUGCAGGUUUUCAAGACAAUUGUAGUAAGGACACUUGUGGAGAUGAAUUUUAUAUUUGUGGAUCACUGACACAUAGAAAAAGUGGAAUGAUAAGAAUGUCAAACAUGGUAAAUUCUAUGAUCAUGUGACAAUGGACAAGAAAAAACACUUUUGUGGCAACGUCAUUUUCAAAUUUGUGAGGCAAGAAUCUUCUUCUUGCAACAAAUGAUGUCAACAUCUCAUGCAUGGUAAUCUUGCUAUAACCGCCUCUUGUUUCAAAAUAGGUUGAACUGCCAACUUUGUUCUUUUUUUAGUUAAAUUUAGUACCUUUCAUCAAAAUUUGAAAUAUAAACUACGAAUGUGAUAUCAUUGAUCCAAUCAUUUAGUAAAUCUUUGGCCCUUUGAAUGUGAACAAGUACUUGAAGUUCUUGAAUUCAACUCUAUUUUAUCAAGAACUGGAUUGUAAAGUGAUUGUUAUUAUUUUGCUACUUUGAGAUACUCAACUAUUUACUCCCUCCAAAACACCUUUUGUAUCAUUGUGACAUUUUUUUUUCAAGUGAGUUCAAAGUUUGACGCUAUUAGUUUCUCAUGACUAAUUGUUUUUUUUACCUUAUUGAGCUGAUACAACUAUUCGAAUUUGACCUCCACCAAUACGGUUAUAUUUUUCUACCAUAUAGAAAAGACAGUUUAGGGACGACCAAGGGCGCAACCAUAAUUAAGCAUAUUAUUGAGGGCAAAAUGAUCAUUAUUUAUGGAUGACAUUUACCGAUCCUCACCAGAGUAAAAUUAUUUCUAGAUAAGCCCCUGCUUUCUACCUCUCUUCUCUGUCUUUUUUCUUCUCCUUCCAAAGAACAAUCCAACUUUCUCAGCUCCGCUCACACACCAACAAUUUGAAGAAUAAAGCUAAAAGAAAAGCAGGGCAUAGGAUAAUUCUACUAUAAAAAGGUAAGAUAAAUGAAUAAUAAUAUUGAUAAAUAAUAAAUAUAGAGAGAAUGCAAAAAAAGGUACCAACAUGAUCAUACCAAAUUGUUCAUUACAUAAAAUGGUAGUUUUCUUUGUUACCUAACAAAGGAUUUAACGAUAUCGUACAGAAAAAUUUAAGUAACAAUCAAAAUAAAUAUUAUAUUUAGACUAACUAAACGAUACAAUACAACUGGUAACAACCAUCCAAACAAGCUGUAAAACCAACUUUAAGAAGAGUCGUUAUGUUGGCUCCUCAAUAUUGUUUGAAAGAACUAUCAAACUAGGUUAAAGUCGGGCCUCAUCCUCACUUAACAAAAGGACUUGGGUUCGAGUCUCAAAAUAAAAAAGAUCUCGGUUGGUAGCGCUUUUCUCCUUAAUUGAUCUUGUGUUUCUCAGUACCUUCUAGCCGGUCCUGAUUGCUUGUUAGAAAACAUAGCUUUGGUAAAACUGUUAGUGUGUCAUGUUUUCACACUUUAUGUGUAAUCCUGCAGCUAUUGAUUUUCAUCAAUUAAAUUUUUGUAAUGUCAAGUGAUGUUUCCAAUAGUGUGGGAACUUUUAUAGCCAGAGGAGAUUCAUCCGGUGACAUAUACUUGUGGCAGGUUUAUACCAAGUUUUUCUUUGUCAUUAAGUUUUUUUUAGAUAGCUCAUUCUAUUUGACCAGUAAAUGUUCUAUGUUUGAUUUUUAUUUAUAGGUUGCAACUGGUAAGCUACUUAAGAAGUGGCAGGUUUAAUAUAGGAGGGUUACUUGCUUGUUAUUCAAUGAUGAUCAAACACUUCUUACUGGCUCAGAGGAUGGAUCUGUUGGAGUUUCGUCGUUUAUAAUGUAUUAUUUGCUUCAUAUGUUUUUUCACUUGUCUAGGCUUUUUUUUUUUUGAGGGUUAACAUUCGAAAGUUUACUGAAAGAGGGGAAAAGCAAGAUAAACUUAUGAGUAUAGUUUCUCUGAGCAUUCUUUGAAGGUGACUGAUGUUGUGAUUGGAUACGGCGGAGCUAAUGCUAUUGUUGUUUCUGCUUCAGAAGAUAGAACUUGUAAGGUUUGCCUUGUAGCUUCCCAAUUUAUUGAUGAUUAAGUAAUUGCUUGUUGUUUUUGGU